rnacentral:rRNA from 1 species
ACACAUGCAGUCGAGGGGUAACAGAUCUUCGGAUGCUGACGACCGGCGAACGGGUGAGUAACACGUAUGCAACUUACCCAUAACUCGGGAAUAGCCCAAAGAAAUUUGGAUUAAUACCCAAUAAUACAGGCGUACCGCAUGGUAUUCUUCGUUAAAGAAUAAUCGGUUAUGGAUAGGCAUGCGUUCUAUUAGGUAGUUGGUGAGGUAACGGCUCACCAAGCCGACGAUGGAUAGGGGAACUGAGAGGUUGUCCCCCCACACUGGUACUGAGACACGGACCAGACUCCUACGGGAGGCAGCAGUGAGGAAUAUUGGUCAAUGGACGAAAGUCUGAACCAGCCAAAUCGCGUGAAGGAAGAAGGUAUUAUGUAUCGUAAACUUCUUUUGUAAGAGAGUAAAGUGCACUACGUGUAGUGUAUUGCAAGUACCUUACGAAUAAGCAUCGGCUAAUUCCGUGCCAGCAGCCGCGGUAAUACGGAAGAUGCAAGUGUUAUCCGGAUUUAUUGGGUUUAAAGGGUGCGUAGGUGGUCUAAUAAGUCAGUGGUGAAAUCUCUUUGCUUAGCAAGGAAAUUGCCAUUGAAACUGUUAGACUUGAGAAUGGACGAGGUAGGCGGAAUUCGUAGUGUAGCGGUGAAAUGCAUAGAUAUUACGAAGAACUCCAAUAGUGUAGACUGCUUACCAGACCAUAUCUGACACUAAGGCACGAAAGUGUGGGUAUCAAACAGGAUUAGAUACCCUGGUAGUCCACACAGUAAACGAUGAAUACUAACUGUUUGCGAUAUACAGCAAGUGGUCGAGCGAAAGCGUUAAGUAUUCCACCUGGGAAGUAUGCCGGCAACGGUGAAACUCAAGGAAUUGACGGGGGCCCGCACAAGCGGAGGAACAUGUGGUUUAAUUCGAUAAUACGCGAGGAACCUUACCCGGGCU